rnacentral:lncRNA from 1 species
AUGCUGGCGACGUCCUGUCACUUUCACACGGGGAACCAGACACAGCGACGCAGCCAAGUCCCUGUGAAGGGUCCCAACAGCGUGGCCCUGCCCUUGCUGGGAAGCCACCGGGACCCAUCCCCGAGCAGUAUGUGGCGGGGCUACUUGGUGAAUACUGGCAAAAAGGACUCCGGUCAAAUACGGUCACGACAGCGUCGACACCCGGGGCCCGUUGUCUCACGCAGCAGCUCCUUCCCCACAGAGCCUCCCUGGUCCGGGGAGGGGAAGCCUGUGCGCAGAGGUCCACGGGGGACCGGGGGACUGCGGGGACAGGCCAGCCCUGGUGGCACUGGGCAGCCUUGGCGCUCGCAGACUGGCUGUCGGGCCACCGAUGCUGCCCCGCAGAAGGUCACGGGCCAAAGCCGACCGCUGUCCCAGGCGGCCGUAGAUCCAGAGGCAGGGCCCCGUCUCUUGAGCUUUUUCAGUCUGAUUCCAGAGAAGAGGGGUUGGCGUCAGGCUCUCCUGUGGCCCGAGCGUGUCCCCAAGUCCCUGAUGCCGAGUGUCUGGAGCCCCCCUCCUGCAGCCUGUGAACGCCGGGUGCAGUGUGGAGGGAGCAGGAGGUCCGCGGACUGUGCCCCCCGCCCCCCGGGCCGGCUGGUGGCUUUCCUGGUUCACAAAAUAAAAAUGUGUCCUCACCGCAGGUCGUGGUCCACAGUAUUUGAAACAUCGUUGCCAGGUCCAAGUUGUUCUCUCCCCAGCUGUACGGUCCUGGGCUGCUCGGAGAUCCCCCCCCCCCCCCCCGCCCCGCACCCCAGGGCCCAGGGGCUGUGCCCCUCGCAGGGGCAGGGGCCUCUCCGACUGCCUCUCCUGUCUGCAGGCCGGACACGGCCAGUGGAUGCUGAGUGUGUGACACGCCAGACAGCGCCAGGUGGGACCCGCUGGGGGAUUAGGCCCGGUCCUGGCAUCCACAUCAGCCCCCUCUCUAAUGGCAUUUUCUCGUUUGAAGUGUGUAACUGUCAUUCAGACGAACCCACAGGAGACGAGCCUGCGGGAUAA